rnacentral:rRNA from 1 species
UACGUAGGGUGCAAGCGUUGUCCGGAAUUAUUGGGCGUAAAGAGCUCGUAGGAGGUUUGUUGCGUCGGCUGUGAAAUCCCGAGGCUCAACCUCGGGUCUGCAGUCGAUACGAGCAAACUAGAGUGUUGCAGGGGAGACUGGAAUUCCUGGUGUAGCGGUGAAAUGCGCAGAUAUCAGGAGGAACACCGGUGGCGAAGGCGGGUCUCUGGGCAACAACUGACGCUGAGGAGCGAAAGCGUGGGGAGCGAACAGG